UUACUGAGAGCAGGCCUCUGUGCUCCCGGCAGGUGCCAAAUGCUGCCCAUCCCUCACCCCACUGACUGCUCACCAGAAAGCGACAGGUCAAUUCCACCAUCAUCCCAUUUUACACAGAGGGAGCUGAGGCUACGAGAGGGGAACACCUCCUUUGUCUUUCUCAGAAGGUGGUAUUUAAGGAGAGAGCUGCUGCCAUUUUGGUGAGUUGCUCAGUUUUCCUGAGCCUCUCCCAUGUACAGUUGUAAAGCUUUAUUUAAUUUUCUCCUGUUAUUCGGUCUCAUGUGAAUUUACUUUGACGUCUGGCCAGAAGGACCCAGAGCAGGUAGAGGAAAUGCCUUCCACCCCUACACCGUCCAGCGUCUGAACGCCCGCUGGGGGGGGCAUCUGCCAGCAGCUGGGGGCCGCCGCGGAGAGACCCCGCCCUCCUCGGCGCGCAGCGCGGUCCGCCCACCCGACGGCCAGGCAGACGGCGCGGCGGCGUCAGCACCGCGGACAGCGGCCUCCUGGCGGGGCGGGGCGGGGCGGGGCGGGGCGGGGCGGGGUCGCCGGGAGGGGCCGCUGCACUGUGGGAGGCGUCGUCGCGGCGGCGGGGGUCGCCGGGCCCAGGUCGGUGGCGGUAGAGGAGGCGACUCCACCGCGGGGGGCGAGGGCGGGGCGGGGCCGAGCCGAGGGGAGGGCCGGCCCGCCGUCUGUCGCCGCGGCUGCCGGGCGCGCGGCGCAGGGCUCUGGCCAGAAGAGCGCGGCGGCAGCGUCAGGGCCACCGCCACCGGACCAGACAAAACCGGCUGGCCGACCCCAGGGCGCAGGCGCGGCGGCUCGCGGCGCGGCUUGGGCACGGGCAGUGCGCAGUCGCGACGGGGCCGCUAGAAGCGGGGGAGGGGGGGAGGGGGCGUCUGCGCCUGCGCACCCCUCCGGCUGUGGUCUGCUGCCUUGGCCGCCCUUCCACGCCUGUGUCUGCCCACCCGCGCAUCUACCCGACGCUUAAGAUUUGUGACGCUGAGCAAGCACGUCUACUUCCUGUGCUCAUGAAACCUGCAGAGUCGCAGGGGAGGGGUCAUGUGUUACUGAAUAAAUGCCCAGUUCGGCAGAGCAGCUGAGAAAAUGGGGUGGUGGUUGACUGCCAGUUUUAGACUGGGGACAGGGAGUCGGGAAAUGCUCAACAGGCUGUAAUCGGGAUCUGAAGAUCCACAAGGAUGGUUCUUUCUCCUGCCUGUGACCAAGAAAUGGGCUGGUGUGUCCCUGAUUUCACUCCUGCUGCUUUUAAUCACGUGUCCACCGCAGACAAGGAAAAGGAGUCUGAAAGCAAAAGAGAAGAUAAAGAAAGAAGCACCUGUGGGCCGCCUGGCUAGAGGAGUGUGUGCUGGAGCAUCUGAGAGCAGGAAGGUUCAAGGUUUGAAACUGCCCUGGGUCGACCCAGCCUCCGGGGGACCAGGUGCUGCGUGCAGCAGGUCACCAGAGACAGGGCAGCAGGCUUCCUUUCACGUGUGCUUGUGGGGCGCAGCGGCCCCUGCAGAGGUAAACAGUGAUUUUUCACUCAUGACCUCUGCACACGCUCCAUUCCUUCUCGUUCCUCCCACAGCCUGGGGGAGAGGGCCAGGAGAAGAAAACCUCUGCCUCCAACACUGCUUGUUCCCUGUUUUUGUUUAGUUUAGUUUUUAAUUUGUAGAAGUGAAAUAAACAAAACUAGCAUCUUAUUUAACUUGAAUACUAGUUUUCUAUAAAAGACAGAACAAAAAAGCAUAUAAAAAGGCCAUUUACUAUACUUUUGUUUCUUUUCUUUUCUUUUUUUUUUUUUUUUGAGAAACAUUAGCCCUGAGCUAACAUCUGCCACCAAUCCUCCUCUUUUUUGCUGAGGAAGACUGGCCCUGAGCUAACAUCCAUGCUCAUCGUCCUCUACUUUAUAUGUGGGACUCCUGCCACAGCAUGGCUUGCCAAGCGGUGUCUAGGUCCACACACUGGAUCUGAACCAGCGAACCCCCGGCCGCUGAAGCUGAAGCGGAACAUGCAAACUUAACAGCUGUGCCAUUUAUUAUACUUUUUGUUUGGUGAGCUAUCAACACCCUUUAAAAUGCUACUAUUCAAGUACAAAGGAUUAUGUUUA
ensembl:lncRNA